UCACCGGGAGUAAAUGUGCUCU
rnacentral:miRNA from 1 species